rnacentral:rRNA from 1 species
UACCACUAAUAGCCACUAACCCUUCCCCACCACUGAAUAAUUCUAUAGUAUAUAGAAAAUACUAUGCUAGAACUAGUAACAAGAAUGAUUCUCUAAAAUGUAAACUUCUGCCUAAUAAUAGGAAAUUAACGAACAUGAACCUGCUGCAGCAACCCCCAAGAAAACCCUACAAAAAUCUCCGUUAACCUAACACUAGGACAUUUCUAGAAAGAUUAAAAGAGAAAGAAGGAACUUGGCAAAUCUUAACCCCGCCUGUUUACCAAAAACAUCGCCUCUUGUUUAAUAAUAAGAGGUCCAGCCUGCCCAGUGAUAAAUUCAACGGCCACGGUACCCUAACCGUGCAAAGGUAGCAUAAUCACUUGUUCUUUAAAUAAGGACUAGUAUCAACGGCACCACGAGGGUUAUACCGUCUCCUUCCUCCAAUCAGUGAAACUGAUCUCCCCGUGAAGAAGCGGGGAUAAAACUAUUAGACGAGAAGACCCCGUGGAGCUUUAUACUUUCGGCAACCAAAUCUCUCACUUCCUUAUAAUCUUAAAGCUUUGCCCACUAGUCUUAGAUUGGGGUGAUCGCGGAGCAAAAAUCAACCUCCAUGACGAACUAUUUUAUCCGAGACUUACAACUCUAAGAAUUAGAACACUAACGCUCAUGACCCGACAAACGAUCAACGAACCAAGUUACCCCGGGGAUAACAGCGCAAUCUACUUCAAGAGCUCAUAUCGACAAGUAGGCUUACGACCUCGAUGUUGGAUCAAGGUACCCCAGUGGUGCAGUCGCUACUAAUGGUUU